CGAUCCAGCCAUUCCGCGUGAGUGAAGAAGGCCUUCGGGUUGUAAAGCUCUUUCGGCAGGAACGAACGGCGGCUCUAACAUAGCCUGCUAAUGACGGUACCUGAAGAAGAAGCACCGGCUAACUACGUGCCAGCAGCCGCGGUAAUACGUAGGGUGCGAGCGUUAAUCGGAAUUACUGGGCGUAAAGCGUGCGCAGGCGGUUUUGUAAGACAGAUGUGAAAUCCCCGGGCUUAACCUGGGAACUGCGUUUGUGACUGCAAGACUUGAGUGCGGCAGAGGGGGGUGGAAUUCCACGUGUAGCAGUGAAAUGCGUAGAGAUGUGGAGGAACACCGAUGGCGAAGGCAGCCCCCUGGGUCGACACUGACGCUCAUGCACGAAAGCGUGGGUAGCAAACAGGAUUAGAUACCCUGGUAGUCCACGCCCUAAACGAUGCCAACUAGGUGUUGGGGAAGGAGACUUCCUUAGUACCGUAGCUAACGCGUGAAGUUGGCCGCCUGGGGAGUACGGUCGCAAGAUUAAAACUCAAAGGAAUUGACGG
rnacentral:rRNA from 1 species